AAAACAAUAGGGCUCUCGCCCUCCAGGCUUGAGCCCUAAUUAAAGCUGCAAGCAGCGAUGAACGGGCCCUCGCACCCGGGCUCACCGCCAGCGAGUGGCUUUAGUUAAAAGGUGAACGGUGAGAAAUAUGCGUUUAAACUCAUAAAUAUAAGUAGAAUAUAUCAAUGUUUAUUCCAUAUAUGUGCCAAUCUUCCUGUUGCCAGCAGGUGGCACUAUCAUUAUAAUGGAAUAUUGGCCUUCAGAUGUGUUCAGGGCAGGACUUUUAUCGAACAUGUGAGGUUUGGGGAGGAUUGGACAUUUUAUGCCUGAGUUACAACAACUUCUCUUGCUGUGGCGAGACAUCAAAAUUUGUCAUGGCUCCAUGUACACGCCCUUUAACAAAAACUCAAGAUCUCCACAAGUUAACAUUGCACAGGCCUUUAGAUUAGACUGAAUACAAAAAAUACUUUAAUCUCAAAAAAAUUCUUGGAGUAGUUUGUCGCAGCGUAAAACAUGUCACUUCCUGUUGCCAGCAGGUGGCGCUAUGACUAUAACUGAAAAUUGGCAUGUAGAUCUGUUAAGGGCAGAAGUCUUAUCUAACAUGUGAAGUUUGGGGCAGAUUGGACAUUGUAUGUCUGAGUUACAGCAACGUCCUUUUUCAUGGCGAAACAUCAAAAUUUGGCAGGCCGCCAUGGACACGCCCUUUAACGAAACCUCAAGAUCUUCGCAAUUUUACAUCACAAAGGCCUUUAGAUUACAUUGAAGAAGUUUGGUGUUGAUCUGAAUAAAUCUCUAGGAGGAGUUCGUUAAAGUACAACCCCUGAAAAUGGCAAAAACAACACCAAUUUUGAAGGGAAAAUUCUAAAUAACCGACUUCCUGUUGGGAUCCGGAUUUCGUACCAAGAGACUUUUUUGUAGGUAUUGGAGUGUUACAUGUGUGUACCAAUUUUUGUACAUGUACGUGAAACAUAGCUCGAGGCGCACUCCGUUUAAAGUGUAUAGGUGGCGCUAUCGAGCCAUUCUGCCACACCCGGUGGAAUAUUGGCCGGGAGAUCUGUUCAGGCCAGGACUCUUAUCACACAUGUGAAGUUUGGGGAAGAUCGGACAUUUUAUGCCUGAGUUAUAACAUCUUUUAUUCCCAUGGCGAGACAUCGAACUUCGUUGCGGCGCCAUGAACAAGCCUUUUAACGAAAAUUCAAGAUCUUCACAACUGAACAUGGCACAGGCCUUUAGAUUAGACUGACCACAAAAAAGACAUUGAUGUCAUAAAAUUUGUAGGAGUAGUUCGUCGCAGCGUAAAAUAUGUCACUUCCUGUUGCCAAUAGGUGGCGCUAUGACUAUAACUGAAUAUGGGCAUGUCAAUCUGUUCAGGUUCGGAGUCUCAUCAAACAUGUGAUGUUUGGGGCAGAUUGGACAUUGUAUGUCUGAGUUAUAGCAACUUCAUUUUUCAUGGCGAAUCAUCGAAAUUCGCCAGGCCGCCACGGACACGCCCUUCAACGAAAACUCAAGAUCUUUGCAAUUUAACAUCGCAAAGGCCUUUAGAUUAGGCAUACCAAAUUUGGUGUUGAUUUGAAGAAAUCUCUAGGAGGAGUUCGUUAAAAUACAACACAUGGAAAUGACCAAAAUUAAACAAAAAAUGCUCAUAAUAUUAAAAAUAACCGACUUCCUGUUGGGUUUAGAAUUUCGCUCCAAGAGUCUUUUUUGUAGGUAUUGGUGUGUUACAUAUGUGUGCCAAUUUUCGUGCAUGUACGUGAAACAUAGCUUGAAGGCUGUUGAUUUUCUUGGUAUAGGUGGCGCUGUCGAGCCAUUUUGCCACACCCUCUUCUGAAUCCUAUAUCACACGAAAAUUUUCACCAGGUUUGACGCGUGUGCAAAGUUUCAUGACUUUUUGAGCAUGUUAAAGCCCUCAAAAAUGCGAUUCAUUCGGGAGAAGAAGAAGAAGAAGAAUAAUAAUAAUAAAUUAAAGCUGCAAGCAGCGAUGAACGGGCCCUCGCACCCGGGCUCACCGGCAGCGAGUGGCUUUAGUUAAUAGGUGAACGGUGAGAAAUAUGCGUUUAAACUCAUAAAUAUAAGUAGAAUAUAUCAAUGUUUAUUCCAUAUAUGUGCCAAUCUUCCUGUUGCCAGCAGGUGGCGCUAUCAUUAUAAUGGAAUAUUGGCCUUCAGAUGUGUUCAGGGCAGGACUUUUAUCGAACAUGUGAGGUUUGGGGAGGAUUGGACAUUUUAUGCCUGAGUUACAACAACAUCCUAUUUCAUGGCGAAACAAUGAAAUUUGUCAGGCCGCCAUGGACACGCCCUUUAACAAAACCUCAAGAUCUUCGCAAUUUAAGAUCGCAAAAGGCUUUAGAUUACACUGACCAAGUUUGGUGUUGAUCUGAAUAAAUAUCUAGGAGGAGUUCGUUAAAGUACAACCCCUGAAAAUGGCCAAAACAACACUAAUUUUGCAGAGAAUAUUCCAAAUAACUGACUUCCUGUUGGGAUUCGGACUUCGUACCAAGAGACUUUUUCGUAGAUAUUGGUGUGUUACAUAUGUGUACCGAUUUUUGUACAUGUACGUGAA